rnacentral:rRNA from 1 species
GACGAACGCUGGCGGCGUGCUUAACACAUGCAAGUCGAACGGAAAGGCCCUGCUUUUGUGGGGUGCUCGAGUGGCGAACGGGUGAGUAACACGUGAGUAACCUGCCCUUGACUUUGGGAUAACUUCAGGAAACUGGGGCUCAUACCGGAUAUGAGCUCCUGCUGCAUGGUGGGGGUUGGAAAGUUUCGGCGGUGGGGGAUGGACUCGCGGCUUAUCAGCUUGUUGGGGUGGUAGUGGUUUACCAAGGGUUUGACGGGUAGCCGACCUUGGAGGGGGACCGGGCACAUGGGGCCUGAGAGAGGGACCAGACUCCAACGGGAGGCAGCAGGGGGGAAUAUUGCACAAUGAGCGGACGCCUGAUGCAGCAACGCCGCGUGCGGGAUGACGGCCUUCUGGUUGUAAACCGCUUUCGCCUGUGACGAAGCGUGAGUGACGGUAAUGGGUAAAGAAGCACCGGCUAACUACGUG